UUUUGGAGUGAAUGCUGCUGUAAGGUUUGUUACUUCAUAUAAACAGGAUUUUUUCUUACAUACUCGAUCGAUAUAAGAUAUGUAGUAAAAUUCAAUUAUUAGAUACAGGAGUUCUAUGUAUUUAUAUUUUGAUUUCAUGAUAAAUUAAGUCUAUAUAAGAAUUUCCUAUUCCAUUCACCACAUAAGCGAGAAUUUUAAUUAAUAUAAGCAUGCAAAGAGCUAAGCUGGCUAGGCAUUGCAUUUUAUGAUGGAUGAUGA
rnacentral:misc_RNA from 1 species